UACGAAGGGGGGCUAGCGUUGUUCGGAAUUACUGGGCGUAAAGCGUGCGCAGGCGGCUUCUCAAGUCAGGGGUGAAAGCCCAGAGCUCAACUCUGGAAUUGCCUUUGAGACUGAGUGGCUUGAGUACGAGAGAGGUGAGUGGAAUUCCCAGUGUAGAGGUGAAAUUCGUAGAUAUUGGGAAGAACACCGGUGGCGAAGGCGGCUCACUGGCUCGUAACUGACGCUCAGGCGCGACAGCGUGGGGAUCAAACAGG
rnacentral:rRNA from 1 species